AGAACCUUCGACUAAGGUUCGACUCGAGCGCCAGCGAGAGAACGUUGCCACAGGCAACGGCCCGAAGGGCGAGGAGCGAUAGCGACGAGUU
rnacentral:sRNA from 1 species